AGCGAACGCUGGCGGCAGGCUUAACACAUGCAAGUCGAGCGGCCGUAGCAAUACGGCAGCGGCAGACGGGAGAGCAACACGUGGGAACGUACCCUUCAGUACGGAACAACCAAGGGAAACUUUGGCUAAUACCGUAUACGUCCGUAAGGAGAAAGAUUUAUCGCUGAAGGAUCGGCCCGCGUCCGAUUAGCUAGUUGGUGAGGUAACGGCUCACCAAGGCGACGAUCAGUAGCUGGUCUGAGAGGAUGAUCAGCCUCACUGGGACUGAGACACGGCCCAGACUCCUACGGGAGGCAGCAGUGGGGAAUAUUGGACAAUGGGCGCAAGCCUGAUCCAGCCAUGCCGCGUGGAUGAUGAAGGCCCUAGGGUUGUAAAGUCCUUUUAACGGGGAAGAUAAUGACGGUACCCGUAGAAUAAGCCCCGGCUAACUUCGUGCCAGCAGCCGCGGUAA
rnacentral:rRNA from 1 species